CAAUUACUCCCUCCGUUCGGAAAUACUUGUCAGGGAGAUGGAUGUAUCUAGAUGUAUUUUUAUUAUAGAUGCAUCCAUUUUCAUCAAUUUCUAUGACAAAUAUUUCUGGACAGAGGAAGUAUUUG
rnacentral:pre_miRNA from 1 species